UUUUUUUUUACCACAAGAGGGUGGUAUAGCCUCCCAAGAGCCAGUCAGGCUGGUUCUUAUGUCCAGUAACUGAACUUGUGAGGACUGAGGACUGCUUUUGCAUGGGAAUUAACCACAUGCACACUGUUUUGAUGUAGGUAAUUUUAUCAAAUUGGCUAAACAUUUUGUAGGACACUAGAAUUUAAGUCUGGUGAGUCAUGCAUGGCAGAGAUUCUGAAAGAAAACUGAAAGGCUAGACUCUCUUUCCAUGGAUGAAGAGAACUUGGUCCCAUUCUGUCUCUUUGCAUGUCUGUAAUGUCAAAGACUUUGUUGCUUUAAUCUAUUGGGUUUAAAUAUAGCCUCAAUUGUGUCUUCGCUAAUUUUGUCCCAAGUUUGGAUGUAUUGCUUUUUUGUGAGGACAUGACAGCAUGCAGCUCCACAUGGCUGCCUGGGCGCUCAUGUUCGUCAGUGGUUCACAACCUUUGGUUUUAGAUCCAUGAGGAUCAACACUGGCUAUUGUGAGAAGAAAACAUAUUAGUUAAUACCAAUAUCUCCAUGGAAUCAAAAUCAAAGGCUAUGACCUGACAGAUGUAAUUUGUGAUUUAUUCAGACUGCAGAGGUCCACUUACUAUUUACCAUCCUGAUUCUGCCUAGGAAAUUCCAUAGACUCCAGCAGUCUACACUAGUACUUCCCAUGAAGCCAUAGCAACUCCAUAUUCACACCAUUCAUCUAUUCAACUGCACUGAACACUAACAAAGCUCAUAGCGAAUCAGAAACACUACAGACAAGGCUGACGUCAGUCUCUCUACGUCACUCCUUUGCACAUAAACAGACUUAUGUUGCAUGUAAAAUAAGAGUGUGCGCGUGUUUAUGGCAUAGGAGGGGGUGUUUUAAGUAUCCAUCCCAGAACAGACUCACCAGUAAUAGUGACCAGUGACAGAGAGAUAAAACAUAGAGUUGUAUUUCAGUGACAGAGCUGAAUCUACAGCUGACAAGAAGAACAGAGAGCUUUGCACCUCAUCAGCACUUCUAGUAACAAUGGAAAUAGUUCUUACCAGACUGAGAGAUUUCUCCUGUAAAGAAACUUCUUUUGAUCACUGUAAAGCAGCAGUAAUGUGCAUGGAGCAUCCCUCAUCCCAGGAAGUGCACAGGGGGAAGUGUAUGCCUGGAGAGGGGGACAUUGAGACUGCACUGGUCUGGUUGAGGAAGGAGCUGAUGGAGAUGCGCUCUCAGGAACAAGCUUUGAUUCGCCAGCUGAUGGAUCUCCAUGACGGCAUUCAGGAACUGAAGCAGUAGUGUGCAAAAGCCAUAGAAGAAGAGGAAGAGGAGGAGGAAACUUGUUGGGACUCUGGGAGUGAGGGUGGGCGGAGCAGCAGUAUUUCCUCCUUCUCAGGAGAAAUGAGCUUUUACACUUCCAUCUACUCCUUUAGCACAUGUAUGAGCCCCGCUUCUCUUGAAGCCUACAUACCCAAGCAGGCCUUUAGUAGACGCAGAUCUGUGCCCUGAAACCUCCAGUUCAGAUCACAUGUGCUUGAUUAAUAAUACACUAAGUUCCAUUAUGCAUGUUACAUUAGUGUUGAGUCUCACAGAGAAACAAAUUAUGUGAGAAACUUCAUAAUGUCUUAUUGGACUCUGUAUUUAAAACAACCGAAGUAACACAACUGCCUUAAGUUCAGAACAUACUAAAGAGAAAAGGUCAAAUGUUUUACACUGUGAGAAACUUGAUAAAGUCUUUGGUGAUAGACUAUUCUACCUGAAUGCACUAAUAGAUACUUUAGAAUGCACUGAGGAAGUUUUUUUUUUACUUAAACAGCUCUUAGCCUGUAUAUUUGUAAAUUCAUUUUCUUUCAUUGUAUUUCAUUUUCGAGUGCAUCUUCAAACUAAGUGCUUAAGUGUUGUAUGAUGUUUUUAUGACACUGACAGCAAAUUACCAGAAAUGUAUUGUUCUGAAAGCAGAACAAUGAACAAAUCCAUUCUGUUGUAUUGUGAGAGUCAUAGCAUAACAUAUUUAGAUUUUUCUUUUUCUUUUAUUUUUGAUCAAGACAUGAACAUAUAUUCACUGAUUAUCAUUUUUUUCCGGGACAAAUAUAAAAAAACUAAUGAUAUGCUAAGACAUGCUUUGACAUCAUACUUAUUACUAGUACCACAAGUAUGAUAAUUAAAACCUAUAAACCUGA